rnacentral:tRNA from 1 species
UAUAAAGAAACAAUUAAUUGUAAUCAGUUUCGACCUGAUAUUUAAGUUAACUUUAACU